rnacentral:miRNA from 1 species
AUCAUCAUGCAUCAUCAGCAUGC